CAUACGUGUGAUAAGUACAACUCUGUGUUUCGAGUCGCUGGAAAUGUCACUGCAAUUAAUCAGAAUGCAUCCGAGUGUGCUUCCGGUAGACAUUCGUCUCCUGAAGCUUACGUCCUUACAUACUGUGACGUCAAUAACACGUCAUCGUGGAAACAAGGAAUCAGGGUCAUGAACGAAUGUGACACCAUACCGUCCUACACCCCAAUAGCUGAAUUCGACAAUGGCGUUUUUAAACCAGUCAUGUUUCAGCGGAAUUUUCCUUGGAUGCCUUAAAAACGAAACUGGAAUAAAGAUGAUAAUGCAGCGAUGUGACGCAAAUCCAACCAUUGUACAUAUCACCGGCGGUCAGUCCAGCUUCGACCCAUUUUCUUAUUUUACUAUUAUAUAGAUUAUAUAGCUGUAGCUUUCACUAAUAUAUUUUUUAUUAACUUGUUGUUUUAUAAUCAUUUUUAUGAUGCACCUGGCGCUAAUCCUUUCAUCAGUCGAAAUUUGAAUACGAGUCUGUGAAUAAGAAGACAUGAAACAUUUCUAAAAUGUGUUUGGUGUGACCUAUAAGCAUUUGACAAUCUGUGUUUGUGAUAUGUUACUAUGAACCAAAUAUGUGUACUUACCCGAGGUGGUGUUUAAAGUUCACAGAGAAUACAAUGGCAAAAUUAUAAAAUG